UACGAAGGGGGCUAGCGUUGCUCGGAAUCACUGGGCGUAAAGCGCACGUAGGCGGAUUGCUAAGUCAGGGGUGAAAUCCUGGAGCUCAACUCCAGAACUGCCUUUGAUACUGGUGAUCUUGAGUCCGGGAGAGGCGAGUGGAAUUCCUGGUGUAGCGGUGGAAUGCGCAGAUAUCAGGAGGAACACCAAUAGCGAAGGCAGCUCGCUGGGACGUUACUGACACUGAGGCGCGAAAGCGUGGGGAGCGAACAGG
rnacentral:rRNA from 1 species